ACGUUCCUAGCUCCUAUUGCGAGAUAGAGAAGAGUGAAUUUCUUUUCAUUUUCAGCUAGAAGUGAAGAUGGAGAUUAUCUUUGAUAGCAGUGCUUUCUCCGGGGGUUGGACGACGACAAGUAGCUCACACGCUUAAUUAUGGUGCUUCCUCCGGGGAUCAGAAAUAACAGCAACCUUGUCUUCCUCCAUGAUCCGCUUCUUCCAGCAGAUAUGUUCAAGAUAUGUUACAGUGACCUUUCCACAUCUUUGUUCAUUUGGUCCUUUUUCUUAUUUUAUUUUUGUCUUAUUGGACAAGGCCACUUUUGGGCCUGAUCUUGUACAGUUGGUUAUAUUUUGCAAUAAAAGGGGUUUAUGCCCGACUUUAA
rnacentral:lncRNA from 1 species